rnacentral:lncRNA from 1 species
GAAGACUCCGCCCGGACUCCUACGGGAGCUGGGCUCCGUCACCAACUUCGACCGCUGGUAAGCUUCGUCCAGACUCCUAUGGGAGCCGGACUCCGGGCUCCUCUCAAAUGGACAGCUAACCACCCCUCUCCGCCAAACACUCCAGCCGAACUUCAGCCGAUAGGUCUGCAUGCCCUGGUGUGACGCAGCAAUGGCCACGAUCCUGCUCCACUUCCUGUGAUGGAUUCCGCACAGCUCCAUUACUCCCUGGC